ensembl:miRNA Gm24195 predicted gene, 24195
GCCGGGACUCCAGCCUGAUACCCAGCACCCAGGUGAGUGCUUGGCACCUGGUAAGCACUCAGUAAGUAUUUGAUGAGUGCCUACUGUGUGCCAAGACAUUGUGCUGAGGCUUUUGGGGGGAUUUAGAGUGGAGAGAG